AGUUUUGGGAGAUCAGUGCGAUUAGCUUUGGCCGUUUGGCGGCCAACCUUUUCCCAUCCGCUUCUUUGAACACACCCUCUCUCUCUCUCUCUCGCGAUCUACCAAAUUAUCCCUGGUUUCCUACGGCGCGACUUGAAUCGUUGAUUGAAUGUGCUCUGUCGAGCCAAUUUGGAUAUCUUCCUUCGAUGAUUCGAAGUCCGAAUAACUUUGGUGUCAAAGGGGCGAAUCUCUCAAUUCUCGUCGGAUAUUUGUUAUAGCAGGCGAAUUGACUGUAUCUGUGUAUCUUUGAGGUGGUUCCGGCGCAUCCGAGAGUUGUCUUGGGAGAACAUUGGCUUUUCCGGGAAAAGUGAUCCAUGGAGUAUGACCCAUCCGAUAGUAGCGGAACUGAUGAUGAUCUUCCACCAUCUCAUUACAAUAGGGGUGCAAGAGGAGGACGUGUAUAUGGGAAUGGAAGAGCUACUUUUGGUGCUAUUCCAUAUUCUAAUGCACCAAAUGAUAUGGAGGUCCAAAUACACUGGCUUGAGCAAGAUUCAUAUAGUUCAGUUCUUUGAGCAUUUAAGGCUCAAUCUGAUGCCAUUACUUGGUUUGUCCUCAAGAGAAGGAAAGUCUUAUAACUGAGCUCAGAAAGGAGCUGAGGGUGUCAGAUGAGGAACAUGGAGAACUGUUAAGCAAUGUUAAUGCUGAUGGCAUCAUUUGGCGAAUAAGGAAUGGAGUCAAGCAGGUGGACUCCAAACUGGAACGCUUAGUAAUUCUCAACCAGAAAUAACAAUACCAAGUCCUACUGUAUCAGCAUCUUGAAAGAGGCAGAAGACAUCUCAGCUAUACCUUCUCUCACAUUAGGUGCACCAUCUCCUGCUCUGCAAUCACAGCUUGCUGCUUCCAUGCAGCCAUCAUUAUCAGCUUCAAAAAGAGGAGCUGCUGCAGGAACCAAAGGCAAGAAGCCUAAAUCAGGAUGCACAUAGCCCGGUGCAUCUUCUGCAAAGUCCAUGCACUACCCUUCUGCAGGUCUCAGUGGGAGGGGCCAAAUUGCCAAUGAGAACUAUUCUGGUGCUGUUGUGGCAGGUCUGCAUGCUUUAGUUGAUGAUACUGACAUGUAUAAAGAGACACGGGAAUGGAUCAAUCUCAAAGAGAUUUGUCCAGAAGAUAUAAGAUGGGAGGUUGAGGAGGACCCAGGCAUUGUUCUUCAGUCUGGUCAAGUUGCAUCAUGUCGUGGGGUUAAGAGGACCACAGCCCGUGGUGGUGGCAUUCCAGGUGCAGGUAGGGGUAGAGGAUCACUGAAGAAUCAGAAGAAAGAUUUUCUUCUGUCCCAAAAUAGCAUUGCAAGAAGAGAACUGGAAACAUUGAAAUACUCCAAACUGACACUCUAAUAAAAGAAGUAGAGAAACUUCUUGGUGCAAGUCAUCCUGAUCCUCUCGAGAUUGAGAAAGCCCGGCAAAUGUUAGAAAAGCCUGAACAGGCAUUGAUUGAUGCAAAUGCAAACCUAGAUGAUGCCUAUGAUGGCGAAAGAGUAUAGCCCAAACUCCAGUUCAGUUCUCACAUGGCAAACCCAUGGACAAAGAUCAAGGAUGGAGAAAUCCAAUGUAUGGUGGGAACCAGCAUGGAGCUAAUUACAACCAUGACAUGGCUGUCGAUGUUGGAGAAGGCUCUGAGGAUGAUCGAAUGGUUGCAGGCAGUAUCGCAUUGGGUUACCAGCAUCAUGCUACUGAUGAUGACAUGUAAGCUUGUAACCAACCUGCACUGAAUCUUCCACCACAUAGUAUGUCCACAGGGAUCCCUAACCAUGUAAAUUGCUUUAGCUAAGAUUCAUUUCUCACACGUGAGAAAUUAAUGGUGCCUUGAUCCUUGGUUGAAAACAUCUCCUGUAUGAGUUGUUUUCAUAAUUGUAUCUGAAGAGAGCAUCUUGGGGAAAUUUGGCCUUUGAUCAUUUCAGUGAUAGAUUAUUAUGCUCUUGUGAGUUGUUUUGCAUUC